rnacentral:rRNA from 1 species
UACGUAGGGUGCGAGCGUUAAUCGGAAUUACUGGGCGUAAAGCGUGCGCAGGCGGUUUUGUAAGCCAGAUGUGAAAGCCCCGGGCUCAACCUGGGAAUGGCAUUUGGGACUGCAAGGCUGGAGUAUGGCAGAGGAGACUAGAAUUCCUGGUGUAGCAGUGAAAUGCGUAGAUAUCAGGAGGAAUACCGAUGGCGAAGGCAGGUCUCUGGGCCAAUACUGACGCUCAUGCACGAAAGCGUGGGGAGCAAACAGG